rnacentral:rRNA from 1 species
AACGAACGCCGGCGGCAGGCUUAACACAUGCAAGUCGAGCGCCCCGCAUGGGGAGCGGCAGACGGGUGAGUAACGCGUGGGAAUCUACCCAUCUCUACGGAAUAACUCAGGGAAACUUGUGCUAAUACCGUAUACGCCCUUCGGGGGAAAGAUUUAUCGGGGAUGGAUGAGCCCGCGUUGGAUUAGCUAGUUGGUGGGGUAAUGGCCUACCAAGGCGACGAUCCAUAGCUGGUCUGAGAGGAUGAUCAGCCACACUGGGACUGAGACACGGCCCAGACUCCUACGGGAGGCAGCAGUGGGGAAUAAUGGACAAUGGGCGCAAGCCUGAUCCAGCCAUGCCGCGUGAGUGAUGAAGGCCCUAGGGUUGUAAAGCUCUUUCACCCGUGAAGAUAAUGACGGUAACCGGAGAAGAAGCCCCGGCUAACUUCGUGCCAGCCGCCGCCGUAACAC